AAUUUUCUUUCUACGUCUAUUCCCUCCACAAUAAAACAGUGGAGAGAAGCAGAGAGCGACGUUUCACAAAUUAUUUACAGUGCUGCUGCCUCUGCCAUGGCAGGAAUCGCGGCGGCCCUUGAAGAUUUCAGAAGUCGGCGAACCAGUCGUCCUCGUCGCCGUCGUUGAGGUAGUGGCGGUAGCGGUCGAGGUCCUCGUCGGCGAGGCCGUAGCGGCGGCGCCAGUACUCGAGCGUCGCCUCCGCCUCCCGCAUGUUGCGCAUCACCGUAUGGUACGCCGCGUUGAUCCGCUCGAACUCCACGAUGC
rnacentral:lncRNA from 1 species